ensembl:lncRNA
UUGUGGGCAGUAUAGAGAGCACCUUCAGAAUUUGGGGACAUGGUCAGAAGGAGUCAGGAAUUGAAGAAUGCUACUAGAACCCUCAUAAUACAUCUGAGAUUAACCACUUGCAGAUGUGACCUGUCUCAGCCUCAACUGUGUACUUCUGAGACAGACUGGGACCUGCGAAGAAAAGGCCAAAACCCAACUGCCACUCUUGAGGUGCAGGAGCAAAAGCAGGGGACUGAGCUUGCACCACAGCACCAUCAAGCGGAUGAGCAGACCACCUAAGCCAGCC